AUAUAGUAUUGAAACACCGGUUCCAGCCCGAUCACCGAAGUUAAGCAACGUCGAGCAUGGUCAGUACCUUGAUGGAUGGACGUUUGGGAAUACCAGGUGCUGUAAG